rnacentral:rRNA from 1 species
UAGGGAAUCUUCCGCAAUGGGCGAAAGCCUGACGGAGCAACGCCGCGUGAGUGAUGAAGGUCUUCGGAUCGUAAAACUCUGUUAUUAGGGAAGAACAAAUGUGUAAGUAACUAUGCACGUCUUGACGGUACCUAAUCAGAAAGCCACGGCUAACUACGUGCCAGCAGCCGCGGUAAUACGUAGGUGGCAAGCGUUAUCCGGAAUUAUUGGGCGUAAAGCGCGCGUAGGCGGUUUUUUAAGUCUGAUGUGAAAGCCCACGGCUCAACCGUGAAGGGUCAUUGGAAACUGGAAAACUUGAGUGCAGAAGAGGAAAGUGGAAUUCCAUGUGUAGCGGUGAAAUGCGCAGAGAUAUGGAGAAACACCAGUGGCGAAGACGACUUUCUGGUCUGUAACUGACGCUGAUGUGCGAAAGCGUGGGGAUCAAACAGG